CUCAAUAUUCCACAUCUUGUAAUCUUGUUUGUAGUCUUCUCCUUCUUCAUCAUCUCCCUCUCCCUCUCUUCAGAUUAGCAAUACUGUUAGCCAUAAACCAAUCAACGUCUGCCACGUGGUGGCCAUCCCAUCUGCCACGUUAACCCCAUGAUCGAUCUCUGCGAACAACUUGUUUCACGGAAGCCCGAUGACAGUCUUGUCACCGAGGACUGGUUCGGUUUCAUCGGCGCCGAUCCAAAACCCGACAACAUCAGCUUUUGCACCCUCCUUAAUGUCAUACCUUCCGAGCUGGUUCCAGAUUAGGAUCUUCCCGGCUUCGUUGAAGCCGUCGAAGCUCCCUUCGAACAGCUUCUUGACCGGCUCCAGCAGCCGGUUUCAGCCACUAUAGCCGACAUUUCCAUGCCUUUGGCUGUCCAUGUCGAAGAUCAGACGAAUAUUCCGGUGGGUCUCGCUUCGAACCCAGUCGGCAACAGUGUUCUCGAUGUUUCUUCACUUUGAUCUCCUUGUAGAGAAUCGGCAUUUCCCAAUUCGAUUGUCGGAUGUACUCGUGUUCCCUUUUCCUUUAUUACCAGAUCAAGUGCUGAACAGCAAGCGAGUUGUGGAAGAUUUGGUGAUUCGAUGGAGGGCUACAAAUGGUUUUGUAGGGGGGUGGAGGUUUUAUUACAAGAAAAGAAA